GUCGAGCGAAGCGGUUCAAUGAAGUUUUCGGAUGGAUUUGAAAUCGACUUAGCGGCGGACGGGUGAGUAACGCGUGGGUAACCUGCCUUACACUGGGGGAUAACAGUUAGAAAUGACUGCUAAUACCGCAUAAGCGCACAGGGCCGCAUGGUCUGGUGUGAAAAACUCCGGUGGUGUAAGAUGGACCCGCGUCUGAUUAGGUAGUUGGUGGGGUAACGGCCCACCAAGCCGACGAUCAGUAGCCGACCUGAGAGGGUGACCGGCCACAUUGGGACUGAGACACGGCCCAAACUCCUACGGGAGGCAGCAGUGGGGAAUAUUGGACAAUGGGCGAAAGCCUGAUCCAGCGACGCCGCGUGAGUGAAGAAGUAUUUCGGUAUGUAAAGCUCUAUCAGCAGGGAAGAAAAUGACGGUACCUGACUAAGAAGCCCCGGCUAACUACGUGCCAGCAGCCGCGGUAAUACGUAGGGGGCAAGCGUUAUCCGGAUUUACUGGGUGUAAAGGGAGCGUAGACGGUUAAGCAAGUCUGAAGUGAAAGCCCGGGGCUCAACCCCGGUACUGCUUUGGAAACUGUUUGACUUGAGUGCAGGAGAGGUAAGUGGAAUUCCUAGUGUAGCGGUGAAAUGCGUAGAUAUUAGGAGGACACCAGUGGCGAAGGCGGCUUACUGGACU
rnacentral:rRNA from 1 species